CAAAAGUACAAGCUAAAUUUAGCUAUAAGAAAACACAAUAACUUGAUGACAUGCAUACUAUUUUAUUAUGCUUCUUCUUUAAGCCCCACUCUUCAAUUAGAUUGGAUCUUAAUAAUAUGUUUCAAAGAUUUAUUACCACGUAAUUCCCCUUAACUAAAUCUUAGGAUUAGAAUUUUAUUUCGAAGUUAAGCAACUAAUUAAAGAAAAGAUUAUUUAUUUUGUUCCAGAAGUUCUAUCUUCUAUUAAAUUAUUUUAUCUUACAAAAUAAUUUACACUAGCCCAAACUAAACAUGUAUCAAUUAUAAUUAAUGAACCAACUGGGCCAAAUAAUAUCUUAUGUGGAAGCUAGCCCAAAGAUUAGAUAUUCGAAAAUGGGUUCAAGGAAUGUUUUCCUCCACUGGAUCAAGGAAAGAUUAAAUGGUAAUUAGCCCAAUGGCCCAAUCUAAUAUACACUCACACCAAGUCAUCUUCUCCCCCAUUCCUACCCUAACUAGGUGAGAGCAGCCCCCCUCCAUCUCUCUCUUAAACGAAGUCCACCACCGCCGCCUCCGGCGGUGUUUCCUCAACUCUCCUCCGUCAUCAUUCUAUCCUUCCUCAACUCUCUCUAUCUCUUCUCUAUUCACCGUACCGCCGCCGCCACCGCCGCUGCUGUAUGCGCGGCGGCUCACCGUCGCGGCCCUCCACCUCUCUCUCUCUCGGUAUCCCCUCCAUCUCCGAUCGCCGCUGCCACGCACCGCCUCAGUCCUCUCUCUUUCUCCAUCCAUCCAUCCGUCUCUCUCUUCUCUCCCUCUUUCUCCUCUAUCUCUCCCCCGCUCGGAUCUACUCAUACCGCCGCCGUCAUCCAAUCCGUCACUCUUCCAAACUCGCCCAGCCACCGCCGCCGUCAGCAGCGUCCAGCCACCGCCGAAGUCAAUGCACAGAGCCAUCGCCUGUCGGCUUCUCCGCCGGUUCGUGCAGUUGUCCGAACUCACCCCGAACAGCUCCGAACAGCCUCGAAGAGUCCCGCUAAACGGGAGAGAGACGGAUUGUGCAACAAAUAUUAUAGAGGAAGAGGAUUUGGUUGGGACGUGAGGGUGAGUAAAAGAAAUUGAUUGUGCAUCUAUAUGCGUACUCACCAAGGCAGUGAAAGUGACGGUGUAGCAAGUUAUUCUUAUCUCAAAUUAUAGAUGGAGUGAAAGUGAUUGUGUAGCAAGUUGGUGUAGCAAGUUCCUAUCUCCAAUUUAUUCUCCUUGACAUCAAGAGGGGAUAGAUAUGAUACGAUUUCUUCUGCCAUUCAAUUAAUGCAGCAUUUAAUGCUGUGCUGAAAAAAAACGAUUCUAUGAAAAAAUCCAGCUUAAGCUCGUGGCUUUGGUGUAGGAAAACAAAUAACAUCCAUAGCCUUCUCUGAUGAUGUACCAGGCUUUCUUGGAGUGCGAGCACGACCGUUGAACGGGCUGCGUGAACUUUUCUCUAAUUGUAAUAGAUAAGGAUUUGAUAAAUUUGUAUAAUAGUAAUUUAGCGGACUUCGGAGAUAUGCCGGACUUUAUAACUUUUUAUUUGGUGUUUUUUUUUUCUUGAAAUAUUCGUUCGAGAACGAAGCAACGAUUAUUUAUAAUUCCAAGAUCAAUUAUUAUACAUGGAGAUGACAGAUUUCGAAUACUA